CGGUCGCCGCCGCCUGCUGCGGCGGCUGCUGCUGCUGCGGGGGCCGCUCCUUCUGGCCGCCGAGGCUGCUGUACACGAGCAACAAGCUGGUGCACAUGGUGGCUAUGCCUAGUGGGCUAGUUGAUUGGAGAACAAGUCCUCAGAGUCAAGUACCCAGGACCCAGAUUCUGACUGUGCCAUUUAGCAGCUCUGUGAUCUUGGAUCCGAGAUGAUUUUUCUUAUGGAGAAUUUUCAAGUUUCCAGAUGCAUCAGGCUGCAGAGAGCAAGAUCUAGUGCGAGGCAAGUGCCUGCUCCAUUCCUGCUUGAAUCAAUGAGAAGAAGCAUGGAAGCAAGGGGUCUUGUACCAGAGAGGAGAAAGCGUGCAUCAUUCAGGGAGAGAGAGUAAGAAAGGACUGCUUACCCUUGGUUUACUCCCUCUGUAGUCUGUGCUUCCAGUUCCUGAUAUUCAUUAACAUUUUUUUGCUUAAUGUCUGUCUUCCUAAAUAAACAGAGAAGCUCCAUGAGGCUGGGGCUCUAUCAGUUAAACCUCGUGGAAGACACAGUAGUAGGGGUUAAAAAUCUGGCUCUGGCACUAGGAUUACUGUUGUUCCCACCCCAGCCCCACUACCUGUUAGCUUUGUAGCCUUGGGAAUGUUCUGUUUUCUCAGCCACAUUACAGGAGCGAUUGCGCAGAAAAACAACAUGAUUUAAUAUUUGUUAUAAUAGUGGCUGGUACCUAUAUAAACCAAAUAACACUUUUGCUGCUAUAAUUAUUCUUUAUAGCUGUAUACCCAGUGCCUAGCUAGUAUGGUGUUGUUCCUGCAAAAUAGUGGGUUUUGGGUUUGUCUUUUUUUUUUUUAAUGAAUGGGUAAGUAAGUGAAACAAAAAUUUUAUUUCUUUUUCCUCUUGGAAGGAAAUCGUUUUCUUCUUAAGUGAUUAGAAAACCCGAAUUUGCCAGACUACCUUAAUUUUGUUCCACAUGCUGAUAGAAAGUCAAAAUCAAGACAAAUGCCUGGGGCAUCUGGAUGGCUCAGUGGGU